rnacentral:rRNA from 1 species
CCUACGGGAGGCAGCAGUGGGGAAUAUUGCACAAUGGGGGAAACCCUGAUGCAGCGACGCCGCGUGAGCGAUGAAGUAUUUCGGUAUGUAAAGCUCUAUCAGCAGGGAAGAAACUGACGGUACCUGACUAAGAAGCCCCGGCUAACUACGUGCCAGCAGCCGCGGUAAGACGUAGGGGGCAAGCGUUAUCCGGAUUUCCUGGGGGUAAAGGGAGCGUAGGCGGUCCUGCAAGUCAGAGGUGAAAGCCCGGGGCUCAACCCCGGGACUGCAUUUGGAACUGUAAGGCUAGAGUGUAGGUGAGGCAGGCGGAAUUCCUAGUGUAGCGGUGAAAUGCGUAGAUAUUAGGAGGAACACCAGUGGCGAAGGCGGCCUGCUGGACGAUGACUGACGUUGAGGCUCGAAAGCGUGGGGAGCAAACAGGAUUAGAUACCCCGGUAGUC